GACGAACGCUGGCGGCGUGCUUAACACAUGCCAGUCGAACGGAAAGGCCCUGCUUUUGUGGGGUGCUCGAGUGGCGAACGGGUGAGUAACACGUGAGUAACCUGCCCUUGACUUUGGGAUAACUUCAGGAAACUGGGGCUAAUACCGGAUAGGAGCUCCUGCUGCAUGGUGGGGGUUGGAAAGUUUCGGCGGUUGGGGAUGGACUCGCGGCGUAGUAGCUUGUUGGUGGGGUAGUGGCUUACCAAGGCGUUGACGCCUAGCCGGUCUGAGAGGGUGAGCAGCGACACUGGGAGUGAGACACGGCCCAGACUGCGACGGGAGGCAGCAGUGGGGAAUAGGGGACAAUGGGCGAAAGCCUGAUCCAGCAGGGCCGCGUGAGUGAUGAAGGGCUUAGGGUUGUAAAGCUCUUUUACCCGGGAUGAUAAUGACAGGACCGGGAGAAUAAGCUCCGGCUAACUCCGU
rnacentral:rRNA from 1 species